rnacentral:rRNA from 1 species
AAUCAACGCUGGCGGCGUGCCUCAGACAUGCAAGUCGAACGCGAAAGUCCCCUUCGGGGGACAAGUAGAGUGGCGCACGGGUGAGUAACACGUGGGUAAUUUACCUUCGGGUGGGGAAUAACAGUCGGAAACGACUGCUAAUACCGCAUGAUGCAGCGGCACCACAUGGUGACAGUUGUUAAAGCGGGGGAUCGCAAGACCUCGCGCCUGAAGAGAAGCCCGCGGCAGAUUAGCUAGUUGGUAAGGUAAUGGCUUACCAAGGCAACGAUCUGUAGCCGGCCUGAGAGGGCGGUCGGCCACACUGACACUGAAUAAACGGGUCAGACUCCUACGGGGAGGCAGCAGUCGGGAAUUUUUGGGCAAUGGGCGC